rnacentral:lncRNA from 1 species
CUAACAGCCUGUUAGUGUCACAAUUGACUAUAUUCUAGCUAUCUGAAAUCAAUUAUCAAACUACAAAAUACCAAGGCUUACUACUUCCGUCUUAAUUCAAAACAUAAUCCAUUCUACAAAUAUCAAUUCAAUAAUACUUCCAUAUUCUUAUCGGUUCAUCUUCCACUUACUUUCUUUGCAGUUUAUAUAUAUUCAAUUACUAAUCUCCAGCUUAUCUAUUAUAUUCAGUUUCUCAAUUCAUCACACAGAAUUCAAUAUCUUCACUUAACAAAACACAAUUCGAUAAUCUCAAUUCUUAAGGUCAUAGAUUUUCUCCAAAACCGUCAGUCCAAAGUCAUAUUCCAUAAUAUUCUAAUCACAAUUUCAACAAUACUUCUCUCAAUCACAAUUCUUCAUAAGUAAAUAAUAAAAGCAAAGAAAAUAAAGAAGUGGCACCAAGCUUAUUCCGGCUUACGACUCUCACAGUCUGGCCUUGAUCUCCCUCUUCCCAACCUUUUUAUCCUACCAAAAGGUGGACCAUCAACUAGCAGAUUCCAAAGGUUAUGAACUUUUGAGUUCUUAAUCAUUUGUUCUACUAACAACUUACUGUUACUAACUAAAUUACCUAAUUAUAAGUCUAAUUUUUAAGGUUGUUAAUAACCAACCAGUAACUUACUACAAAAUUUAUUUACCUAUUCUACAUAGCCCCACUCCUAAUUGUGCAGAGCCCUCGUAAACAUUAUUUAGCUUCAACUUAUAAAGACGUAGCAGCGUUGGCUUCUUCAGUCAAUGGCGUUGGCUUACCACCCUUUGAAUUGGUGACCUCCUCCUCUACUACAUCUUCAUCGUUUACCUCAAUGUUUGAUGGUUUUCCAUCCAAAUGCAUCAUCAGAUCUUCAUUCAACAAACCCAAUUCCCAUACCUGAGACUCAAGAUGAUAAUUUGGUUGUCGUCUUCCUCUAACAUCUUCUGCCAUUCUUCUGUCAGUUUCAAAGGUAUCUCUAAAGGUGUUGUCGCUGAAAUUGGCGUAUUGACCCGCACUAAAUUAUUGGCUUCCUUCUCUAAUGCGGCUAGUUUAGUCUGCAACAUGGCAACCUCUAUCUGCAGCCGCUCUUGCCAUUCCUUCCAAUCAGUCUCCAUCCUUGCUUUUUCAAACACCAUAUUUGCCAUCUUCUCCUUUUUUGCCAUCCAGUUCUCCUUAACCACAAAAGAAAAUAUGAUGCUUAU